GCAGCCGCACUGUCCCAGUGUUGAACUACUUUCUUUAGAGAGAUUUUUUUUUGGCCACAGCCAGCCUAAAUCAACUUUCCUGUAUGAUGAUUUUCUCUUCCUUUUCUUCAGCAGACAAGUAGAACAACUGAUCAUAAUCUUCUAAUAGGUUGGGCACGUGAGUGGAGGGUGUGUGGGGUUUCAGGUUUUGUUUGUUUGUUUUUUUCUUUUAAAAUAUACCUUCACUCUUUUUCAGGCUGUAUCCAAAUUCUUGGCAUCUCAUAGGCAAUGUUUUCUUCCCUGGAUUCUUUCCAACUGAUUCACAUCUUCCUGAACGUAUCAUGCCUAGAUUUGGAUAUGCUAUUCAGCUGCGGCCUCAUUUGUUACAAGUAGAAUAGAAUAAGUACUUGCUACCAUUCUCAAAUCACGUCUCUUAUUAUGUGCUAUAAUAGUAUUUGGCUGUUUGCAGUAACUUCUCACUGUUAUUUCAUUAUUUAUAUUAUGGUGCGCUGCAGCUGUCACAUCCUAUUUCAAGAUAUUGCUAGUACCUAUUAUUCCCCAGUUUAUAUUAAUGCAUUUGCUUUCUCUUUCAAAGUGCAAUCCUUUAUGCUUUAUGGAAUUUCAACAUUGCAGAGACUGCGUCAGGUAGUUGUUUAUGGUCUGCUUGGGGUGGUGGGUUUUUUGCGCUUUUGCAAAAAAUACUUUAGGGCAAAUUGCAUCUUCCUGGCUCUGAGAUGUCUUCUUAAUGUCAUCUUAAAUAGCCCUGCAGAAUUUAACACACUUAUUAAGGGGUUUAACUAAAAUUUUGUGUGCUACUAUAAUCUUGUUAAAAUGAAUCAUAUUAAUUAUCUUCAUUGUUAAACUAUAUUGUUCUACUGAAACAAGAGGGUGCUGUAGCCUUCAAUCCAUUACACAUAAUCUAUUAUUCACUCCUUUUCCUGCUCAGUAAUGGGCCUCUACUCUUCCUUUUCCUCCAACUGCUGACAAAUUUGUAGAUUUUGUUGUUGCCCCCUUUUCUAUUUAAUUUUAGUUUCUCAGUUUGUUUUCACCUGAGCAAGAGAUAAAGAUCUCUACUGGUCAAGUUUUCCAGCAGGUCUGUACCCUAACCUCUGCAAGAUAAAGCCAUUGGACUCUGCAGCAUUGUUGUCAUCUGAAAGGAUGAUGCAGCAAAAUUUUCUUUACAGCAUCAAUGAGUGCUUUCCAUGCUGAAAGGCUUUAAUUGAUAUGAUAUACUGGUAUUUCGUGGAACAGCUUUAGAUGCUAUUGUGUGCUUUACUACCUCUGUUCUGAAGGCACCAUUCUUUCUUUUUCUAUAAAGGAAAAAGCUACAGUUUACUUUGGCGUUAAGCAGCAGAAUGGAGAAAAUCACCUGUAGUGAUGCUGUUGCCCGAUUUGUGUUUGCCUCAGCUCGUAUAUGGUGAGAUACGUAUAUAUGGCUCAGAUAAGCAGGGAUACAAAUGAAGCAAAAUAUGAUGUCUGCCUAAGUUAGCCCUACUGGAACAAGAAGUGACUAUGAACAGAACAGUCUUGACACAUACAGCUUAAUUGGGUAGUCAUGUAAUAUUAUUAUGAGUCUGCCCUUCUUCAUUCUUUCCUUUUCUUUGUGGUCACAGCUCUCAGCUGUGUAACAUUUGAAAUAGCUGUAAAUUUUGCUCUCUGUGAUCCAUAAACUUCACUAGUUCUGCAACAAGCCUGAUACUUUUUGAGCCUUAUAAAAUAUGCAAGGACAUAAACAAACAUAAAUCUGACUGUUCAGUCAGCUGUGUGGACAAUUAUGAUACUGUCUAGAACCAAAAAUGUGAACAGAUGAGAGAAAAAUUUUGCCAGGUCAAAUGGAAAAGAAGCCACCUUUUGGCCAGGAGGAUCUGUUUGGACCCACAUAUGUGAAAAACAGCAGAGCAACAAAACACUCAGUAGCCACAAACACUGUUACAGUAUUAAUGUAAUACUGUUACAGUAUUAAUUACAGUAUUAAUGACCUAUCUAAGCUACACAAAAGUUUUUUGCUACUUGGCAGAGUUUCUUCUCCUUUCCUUAUCGUAAUUUGGCAUUGAUGUUUUCCCAGAAGUCUUUACUUUCCAUGAUCCCAGUUUAUUUAAAAAAUUUAAAAAAUAAUACAACACAUCUUCUGCCUACCCUUUCUUGAUAAGAGGAGCUUAUGCUUUUGCCUAUUGAAGUUACAAGUACCUUCGCACUCUGCCAGGUAUAUACCUCAACAGCAUCACCCAGAAUAUGUCUUUCUAAUUUUCCAAGAAUUGGAUAUUGGAAAUUUGGUUCCAAUAACCAAAUUCAAAUGCAAAUAUAUUCCUCUGCAGUCCUGGCUGCUAACCUUCUGUCAUAUGACCUCUCAAAUUGAGACUCUAGUUUUAGGGAUGCCCAAACCAUUGCUUCUGUCAAAAAAGUAAACCAGUGCUUUACAGCUGCAGUUAAUUUCUGCUGUAGCAUUUUUGCUAUGUGGUACAUGUCUUUGCAUUUCACAGUGCAAGAAGUAGAAGCUGUGGAGACUAUGUUAACAUAACCUGUUACUUUUCAAAUGCAGUUUUAUUUUUAAAAAAUUAACUUUGAAAAAUAAAGUCUGCAGCAAUCCAUAUAAAUAGAAUUACCAUAAGAGGGUGCUUCUACACAAAAUGCAGGGAAAAAAUUAAACCAACAGAAGUAACAGCAGUAGUGUAAACAUAAUUCACAAAGCAGGUGUAACUGAUGUAGCCUUUCAGCAAUAGCAGUAACAGAAGAGAGAACUCUUUGGCACUUGUAAAAUCUAGACAAUUAAAUUACAUGUCUAAAAUAGUUUUCCCUUUCUGUCUCUGACUCUAGUGAUCCUAUUUUAAGCAUAAUUUAAAUCCCAUUUCCAUGGUCCCCAAAAGUGAAUGUGGCAGUAGAAUUCCCUUCAUACACUGAUACACCUUUUGAAGCUGCUUGGAUGUUUUGCUCCAGCUACUUUUAGUGCAAAGUGUUUUGAGAACCUCAUGUCUGUGUUUGAUCAGGAGCAUUCAUCUACAUUAAGUCUAAUCUUAAUUUAUGGAAGACGGUCUGUGAAUCUUUCUGACCUACAUACUUAGUAUAUGGUGGUUUAUGAUUAAGUUGAAGUUUACACAGUGACCACAUUUAAACUUCUAAACCUGUCAUUCUCUACCCAUUUGUGUUUCUUACUGGUGUGUAAAAGCAGUCACACCUCUUCUCUUCCAGCACCUAGUGCAGCCUUAGUUAGUUUCCUGAACAUGGUUGAUCAGAUUUUCUUUGAAUAUACAGUAUCGCAGAAAAAUACAGAUGAAAGGAAGAACUCCUUUCCUAGAGAAAAUAAUGCAUUGUUUUGGGUAAGAUAGUUGACUGCAACCUCCCCUACCCUGCUGAGUGAAUUACAAUGGUGAUUUUUUUAAAGAAUUCUGUGUAUCUCUGCUAUCCACCAGGUGCCAGACAUUUGAGUAGCAAGCUGAGGGAAAAUGUAGAAGUAAUUUAGUAGAUUAGAGUGGACGAACAGACACAUUUUAGAGACGCUAGAGGGACCUCAAUGCCCUGCUUUGCAGGCAGGAAGCCCGUGAGAGCGGGGCUCUUCCAGCAGGUGGCAAUGACAUGCUGCGAGCCGAGGCGCCCUCGGCGGGGGCAGCCCCUCACCACCCAGAGGGCAGUUCCGCAAGGUCUGAAGAAAGUGCUGGAAACAACGUCCAUUGGCACUCCAGACAAGAAGAAACCAGUAUUUGGAGUCAAAAAGUUGUAUUACCUAUGUGUUUGGCACUGGUGCACCUCUUACUACGAUAUAUUGAGCUGUGGGAACCACUGUGCAAGCUAUUGGAAACUGUAAUCUCAUUACAAAGUUGGGGUAACCAGUUCUGCAUACUGAAACCAGAUGAUGGAAUAUGUGGAUGGCUUUGUGAAAGAGCAUACACUCUUCUGAGGGAAGCUGGGAGACUCAGAUGGUUGUGCCUGUCUGGAAAGGCCUGUAAUGGUGGAGAAAGACUUCUGCAGCACAAGAUUCAUGACUCACAGGAGCACAGCAAUACAGGAAAGAUGGAGCGAUAGGGCUGUGGAGCUGGAACUUACAGAGUUCACACUGGGCAGGUUGUAAGAUGGUGCUGCUCCCAGUCUAACCAGCAUUCUCUGUCCUUUUUCUUAUACAACGAUUAAAUUUAAGAAAAGUAAACUAAAAAGAGCAAGCUUG